UACAGAGGGUGCUAGCGUUAUUCGGAAUUACUGGGCGUAAAGCGUGUGUAGGUGGUUAGAUAAGUUAGAUGUGAAAUCCCCGGGCUUAACCUGGGGACUGCGUUUAAGACUGUUUAGCUUGAGUACUGUAGAGGAUAGUGGAAUUUCCAGUGUAGCGGUGAAAUGCGUAGAUAUUGGAAGGAACACCAGUGGCGAAGGCGACUAUCUGGACAGAUACUGACACUGAGACACGAAAGCGUGGGGAGCAAACAGG
rnacentral:rRNA from 1 species